CCAGAGAACUUAGCAGAGAUGCUUUGGUGCCUUCGGGAACUCUGAGACAGGUGCUGCAUGGCUGUCGUCAGCUCGUGUUGUGAAAUGUUGGGUUAAGUCCCGCAACGAGCGCAACCCUUAUCCUUUGUUGCCAGCGGUUCGGCCGGGAACUCAAAGGAGACUGCCAGUGAUAAACUGGAGGAAGGUGGGGAUGACGUCAAGUCAUCAUGGCCCUUACGAGUAGGGCUACACACGUGCUACAAUGGCGCAUACAAAGAGAAGCGACCUCGCGAGAGCAAGCGGACCUCAUAAAGUGCGUCGUAGUCCGGAUUGGAGUCUGCAACUCGACUCCAUGAAGUCGGAAUCGCUAGUAAUCGUAGAUCAGAAUGCUACGGUGAAUACGUUCCCGGGCCUUGUACACACCGCCCGUCACACCAUGGGAGUGGGUUGCAAAAGAAGUAGGUAGCUUAACCUUCGGGAGGGCGCUUACCACUUUGUGAUUCAUGACUGGGGUGAAGUCGUAACAAGGUAAGCGUACGUGU
rnacentral:rRNA from 1 species